CGGCAUGGAGAUCAAAGGCCGAUGCAAUUCAAGAAUCCAUUGGCGCUUCAAACGUCACCGUCGACGCACUAAGAGGUAACCUUAUGACCUAUGAAUCUACUAUUCUUAACCCUUUUGUUGAUGAUCAAAGAAGGGAAAGAAUAGCUCUAAAGGCGAGCACAAGCCAACCGCAAAUUGAUGAGGAAGGAGACAACGAGUUUGGACUCGUUAUCAAAAGAUUUCAAAAGUUCAUGCGN
rnacentral:lncRNA from 1 species